AGAGUUUGAUCAUGGCUCAGAUUGAACGCUGGCGGCAGGCCUAACACAUGCAAGUCGAGCGGAAACGAGUUAUCUGAACCUUCGGGGGACGAUAACGGCGUCGAGCGGCGGACGGGUGAGUAAUGCCUAGGAAAUUGCCCUGAUGUGGGGGAUAACCAUUGGAAACGAUGGCUAAUACCGCAUAAUGCCUACGGGCCAAAGAGGGGGACCUUCGGGCCUCUCGCGUCAGGAUAUGCCUAGGUGGGAUUAGCUAGUUGGUGAGGUAAGGGCUCACCAAGGCGACGAUCCCUAGCUGGUCUGAGAGGAUGAUCAGCCACACUGGAACUGAGACACGGUCCAGACUCCUACGGGAGGCAGCAGUGGGGAAUAUUGCACAAUGGGCGCAAGCCUGAUGCAGCCAUGCCGCGUGUGUGAAGAAGGCCUUCGGGUUGUAAAGCACUUUCAGUCGUGAGGAAGGUAGUGUAGUUAAUAGCUGCAUUAUUUGACGUUAGCGACAGAAGAAGCACCGGCUAACUCCGUGCCAGCAGCCGCGGUAAUACGGAGGGUGCGAGCGUUAAUCGGAAUUACUGGGCGUAAAGCGCAUGCAGGUGGUUUGUUAAGUCAGAUGUGAAAGCCCGGGGCUCAACCUCGGAAUUGCAUUUGAAACUGGCAGACUAGAGUACUGUAGAGGGGGGUAGAAUUUCAGGUGUAGCGGUGAAAUGCGUAGAGAUCUGAAGGAAUACCGGUGGCGAAGGCGGCCCCCUGGACAGAUACUGACACUCAGAUGCGAAAGCGUGGGGAGCAAACAGGAUUAGAUACCCUGGUAGUCCACGCCGUAAACGAUGUCUACUUGGAGGUUGUGGCCUUGAGCCGUGGCUUUCGGAGCUAACGCGUUAAGUAGACCGCCUGGGGAGUACGGUCGCAAGAUUAAAACUCAAAUGAAUUGACGGGGGCCCGCACAAGCGGUGGAGCAUGUGGUUUAAUUCGAUGCAACGCGAAGAACCUUACCUACUCUUGACAUCCAGAGAACUUUCCAGAGAUGGAUUGGUGCCUUCGGGAACUCUGAGACAGGUGCUGCAUGGCUGUCGUCAGCUCGUGUUGUGAAAUGUUGGGUUAAGUCCCGCAACGAGCGCAACCCUUAUCCUUGUUUGCCAGCGAGUAAUGUCGGGAACUCCAGGGAGACUGCCGGUGAUAAACCGGAGGAAGGUGGGGACGACGUCAAGUCAUCAUGGCCCUUACGAGUAGGGCUACACACGUGCUACAAUGGCGCAUACAGAGGGC
rnacentral:rRNA from 1 species